rnacentral:rRNA from 1 species
AGCUCCAAUAGCGUAUAUUAAAAUUGUUGCAGUUAAAAAGCUCGUAGUUGAACUUCUGGCUUGGCGCGCGCGGCCCGGGCCGUAAAGGUCUGUGUGCCGUUGUGCGCCUGCCAUCUUGCUGGAGCACGGCUGUGCCCUUCACUGGGUUGCAGUCGCGAUUCAGCUCUUUUACUUUGAAAAAAUUAGAGUGUUUAAAGCAGGCUUGCGCUAUGAAUACAUUAGCAUGGAAUAAUAAUUUAGGACUUCUGUUCUAUUUUGUUGGUUUCUAGGAUGGAAGUAAUGAUUGAUAGGGAUAGUUGGGGGUGCUAGUAUUCAGCGGCCAGAGGUGAAAUUCUUGGAUUCGCUGAAGACUAACUUAUGCGAAAGCAUUCACCAAGGAUGUCUUCU